rnacentral:rRNA from 1 species
UACGUAGGGUGCGAGCGUUGUUCGGAAUCACUGGGCGUAAAGGGUGCGUAGGCGGUGCGCCAAGUCUGAUGUGAAAGCCCUGGGCUCAACUCAGGAAUUGCAUUGGAAACUGGCGUGCUGGAGUACGGGAGAGGGAAGCGGAAUUCCUGGUGUAGCGGUGAAAUGCGUAGAUACCAGGAGGAACACCGGUGGCGAAGGCGGUUUCCUGGCCCAGCACUGACGCUGAGGCACGAAAGCGUGGGGAGCGAACGGG